GCGCUGUGUUUUUACGUAAGUUCCGGAGCGCCUCCCUCCAUCAGAGCUCUCUUUAGCGAGGUAGUUUCACCUCGUGUGGGCUGCUGAAGCACACCGCAUUUCAGUUGUUUGAUCCUCCCAUCCUCCUGGCCCGACACCAUGGGAGUGACUUGUGUGUCUCAGAUGCCCGUGGCCGAGGGCAAGAGCGUCCAGCAGACUGUGGAGCUCCUCACCCGGAAAUUGGAGAUGCUUGGAGCAGAGAAGCAAGGAACAUUUUGUGUGGACUGUGAGACCUAUCACACAGCUGCCUCUACCCUGGGCAGCCAAGGUCAGGCCGGGAAGCUGAUGUAUGUGAUGCACAAUUCUGAGUACCCUUUGAGCUGCUUCGCCCUCUUUGAGAAUGGCCCUUGCCUUGUUGCCGACACCAACUUUGACGUGCUCAUGGUGAAACUCAAGGGCUUUUUCCAGAGUGCCAAGGCCAGCAAGAUCGAGACCCGGGGCACCCGUUACCAGUACUGUGACUUCCUAGUGAAGGUGGGCACGGUCACAAUGGGGCCCAGUGCCCGAGGCAUCUCCGUGGAGGUGGAGUAUGGCCCCUGUGUGGUAGCUAGCGACUGCUGGAGCCUGUUGCUGGAGUUCCUGCAGAGCUUUCUAGGCAGCCACACUCCAGGGGCGCCCGCAGUGUUUGGGAACAGACACGACGCUGUCUACAGCCCAGCAGACACCAUGGUCCAGUACAUGGAACUCUUCAACAAGAUCCGCAAGCAGCAGCAGAUUCUUUGGAUGGGAAGAGACCUUGAAAGGACCUCUAGUUUAUCCUGCAACUUCAGUCAAUAUCCCACUUAAAUCAUCCCAGAGCACGGGUUCUAGAACAUGAGGACUCAGUAGCUAUGGCACACGGGCUUAACUGCCCCGCAGGAUGUGGAAUCUUCCCAGACCAGGGAUCGAACCUGUGUCCCCAGAGUUGGUAGUUGGAUUCUUAACCACUGAACCACCAGGGAUGUCCUGUAUAAAAUACUUAAAACAGUGACUGACACCUAGGAAUUUCCUUAAAUGUAUGGUCUUGGCUGUCUUACUCAUAUUCCAGAAUGAGAUGCUGAAAAACUGAAAACUGAAUUUGCCUGAGUUGGGGCUUCUAAAAGUUAACUGGUGGUCUUCAUUAUAAGCCAGGUUUUUCCCCAGAGUGCUUCAAUCAUUGGCCUACAUUCCUGCCUACAACAUUUGGGGAACUGAGUGGGAAAAGAGCUGGGGAUAUCUGCCUUCAGGAUCUCAGUCUUCUUUUGAUCCCCGUCUUUUUAGACUGGUAAUAGAGACGAGGAAACCUAACCAAUGACUGUGGAGUAAUAUGGAA